GACGAAGGGGGCUAGCGUUGUCCGGAAUUACUGGGCGUAAAGAGCUCGUAGGUGGUUUGUCGCGUUGUUCGUGAAAACUCACAGCCCACAUGUGGGCGUGCGGGCGAUACGGGCAGACUAGAGUACUGCAGGGGAGACUGGAAUUCCUGGUGUAGCGGUGGAAUGCGCAGAUAUCAGGAGGAACACCGAUGGCGAAGGCAGAUCUCUGGGCCGUAACUGACGCUGAGGAGCGAAAGCAUGGGGAGCGAAACAGG
rnacentral:rRNA from 1 species